rnacentral:tRNA from 1 species
GGAUCUUUAAGUUAGAUAAACUAUUUGCCUUCAAAGCAAACAUCAGUGAAAUUCACUAAGCUCCG